CAAAUUUCUGCCCUAUCAACUUUCGAUGGUAGAGUAGUGGUCUACCAUGGUGUUCAACGGGUAACGGGGAAUUAGGGUUCUAUUCCGGAGAGGGAGCCUGAGAAACGGCUACCACAUCCAAGGAAGGCAGCAGGCGCGCAAAUUACCCAAUCCCGACACGGGGAGGUAGUGACAAUAAAUACUGAUACAGGGCUCUUUUGGGUCUUGUAAUUGGAAUGAGUACAAUUUAAAUCCCUUAACGAGGAACAAUUGGAGGGCAAGUCUGGUGCCAGCAGCCGCGGUAAUUCCAGCUCCAAUAGCGUAUAUUAAAGUUGUUGCAGUUAAAAAGCUCGUAGUUGAACCUUGGGCCUGGCUGGCCGGUCCGCUCACCGCGUGCACUGGUCCGGCCGGGCCUUUCCUUCUGGGGAGCCGCAUGCCCUUCACUGGGUGUGUCGGGGAACCAGGACUUUUACUUUGAAAAAAUUAGAGUGUUCAAAGCAGG
rnacentral:rRNA from 1 species